UUACAUAAACUGCUAUGCUGUGGAUAGCAGUUUAGCUAAUAUGCUAAUGAAAGCUAAAAUUUAGUAUGUUACAGUAGGCCAACAUGCUUCUAAUAGUCUACUUACUAUCCUUAGUAUUUUUGCUAGCUUUAGCUUUGUAGCCAAUUUGACCUCAAUGAAGCAAGAUGCCAUCACCAUGUGGCUAAUUUUUAAUUAGCCACUUAGGCUAGCUAAUUACUUUGCUAACUAAUUCCAUGGGAAUCCCAACUUCAGCACAGAGCUACACACAAGCUGGGAAUCCAGAGAACAGUUUGAAAACAGAGAAACUCCUGGUAUUUACUCACUUCUCUAAAAGAACUCAAUAACUAUCAGCACAAUGGAUUUGUUUUGUUCUUGCAUGAACAAUACUGAGCUAACUCCAUGGAGACAGACAGAACCUGGCCAGAUAGAAAAGAAAGGAAGCCUGCUCAGCGCUGAUUUCAGUCGCACAUAUGAAGUAAUCCCAUCAUGUUUCUGCUAUCUUCUCUCAAACUUACAUAAGCACAAACUGAACUGACAUGAUCAUAGUGGGGUUUUUUUGUGUGCAUUGGGAACAAUGAGUAAUUUCAUUAGGAUGCAUUUCCUCUUAUUCUCACAUGUCAAACUGUUCAACAUUAAACAGGAGUGAUUUUAAUGAUGAAUAUUACUUACAGCUGUGCUUGAUAGACAAGAAAGCAAACCAAGACAUGAAACACAGAAUCUUUGAAACUCCCAUGUUCCAACUCUUCUUAGAGUAUAGCUUAAUUAAUAACCACCACUAUCUCCAACCUUUUAUCCUUAUUAGCUGUAGUUGCAGAAAAACAUAGUUUCUCUCAGGAGUUUAUCCACUAGAGCUCUCAUGUGCAGUAGUAAUUCAAAGUGUUGAGUCUGCACUCCUUUUAAUAAGUGGACUGAUUGCAGCUGGUAGCUCAGCACUACGACUGGUAUCUGGUCACGCAGGCAGAACCUGGUUAGUGAAUCUAAACUUUAAGUAGGACAGACUUGCACCAGACGUCAUUUAGCACACAGAAGCAUGACUGCAUUGUUGAAGUGAACAGUGUGAGAACUUAACAGAUAUUCAUGGCAUGAAGGUCAUUUUUAUUCAGAGCUUUAAUGAUGUAUGAAAUAAAACAAGGGGUGCUGUGGUGGCAUAGGGGCAGAGCGCAGCCCACCAAGGCCCAGGGCCUUGGUCCUCGGCGCGGCCAUCGCAGGUUUGAGUCCCGACCUGGUGACAUUUGCCGUGUGUCUUCCCCUUCUCUCCCCUGUAUUUGACCACUUUCAAAUACAGGCCACCAGAGCCAACAAAACCUAAAAAAAAAACCCAACAGGAUUGGGUACAAAAGAUGGAAUUUAUUGCAGAUGUUCUAAUCCACACAGGAUCUAAAUUAUAGAAGCAAAUAUGUGUCAAUAUAGAGCUCACUUUCAGCAACUCUUUCUUGCUCUUUAUCCUGUUGAUACACCGAAAUUGUCUAACUAUUGAUUUGAGCUGAAGUUUUCCUUCUCCAUAAUGAAUUAUGAUUAAUCAUAAUGUAAAAACAGCUAAUUAUGGCUGCAUCAAAAUGUGGAAACAAACAGCUUUAGCAUAAGAGUCACUUGGGUAGAACAAAAUGAAGUCUGUAACUUUACUCUAUUUGUGACAUGGCAUUAAGAUAUUACACCGAAUAUACUGGGAACUGCUGGCUGCUCCAUAAUAUUUCAUUUUUGUAUUUUUUCUCAGUGUUUCUUUUACUCAACCAAUAAACUUGUCUCCACAAGACAUUUGGAUGUUACAUAUUCAGAUGUCAGAGGUUUACCAAUUCCCCAAAUGGUGUUGUAUUUGGAGGUUUCAUCCUUAUGGAGCCUUCUGACACAUUGUUAAUGACAUUGUAAUUUAUUUCUCACCAAAACCAGAGAGAAGCAAGCAAGGAAACGUGUGCUUUUGCUUUCAUGCACAUGUUGUACAUAAAACCUGGCCGCAGGAUGUGAUUGCAGAGGCUUUUAUCCCAGGCACUUAGUGCUGAUCAUCCUGGUCUGUCAAACUUGUCCUUUAAACAUGCACCUAGGUGACUCUCCUGUCCCGGCUAAUCUGUAUGAGAGGCUGAGUCAGCAGAUAAAUCCCUGCUACCAUACCAGAGAGAACACAUCCCAAUAACACGGGGAUUUGCUCGUGUUGCUCUGACUGCAUGAACUGCCUCUACAAAGCCCCGAUCUCUGCGAAGGCUUCAGGGUUAGUUGGUGCAGCCACGUCUCAGUGCCUCUAAAAGUCUCCCACUCAAACGAAGCCAACGCGUCACACUUCAAAUGGGAAGCAGUUUACGGGAGUAAUUUGUUUUGUGUGCACCGGUGGCUUCUGAAUGACUAAAUGCGUGCUAAUUAUUUUAUUUGGCAUAACGUAAAAUGCAGAAAAUCUAUCAAGUUCUCUUUUAGGUCGUAAAAUAGGCGGUGAAUUUGCGUAGUGAAAAUGUCUUAAUAUGACAAGGCCAGCAGUUUUUAAUUUGCACCCCGUCUCAUCCUAACCCUAAAUAUCCCUGCAGGGUUGAUUUCCUGAAAUGUGGAAAAAGUAGUGACAAUGGUAAAUUAUUUAUUCAACACCCAAAAUGGGUUCUGCUUUAUGAGAUCUGGCAAAGGAAGACAUUUGGUGUGCUUUCUACGGUGAAAUCUGCUAUAUCACCACUGAAAUGAUCACAUGUAUUUUGCCUGUUUACUUACUGCAUAAGUAAAAUUGAAUUUAAAUGGGAUCUGGUUCUGUAGAUUCUUUAAAAGCCACAGAACAAUAGCUGGUUGCAUGUGAGGCCUGCGGCACAAAUUGGUCUACAGUAGUUUCCAACAGAAUCUCUGUUGCAGCCCAAUCAUCUGAAAAACUUGUUUUAGCAUUAAGAACAAGCAGGAUAGUUUGGGGAAACCAAGAACUGGCCUCAGAUAAAUGAUUAGCUGGACACAAUAUCCAACUUUUUUGAUGUACACAAGGACCACUGGAAGAAAAUGGGAUGUAUAGUGCUGUUUAUAUACGACUUUUACUUUUGUGGAUAAUACUUUUUUUUUUUUUUUAAACAUUAAGCUUUCAAUAUAGACUUAAUGGAUUUCGAAGUGUGUUUUAGAAAAUUAUUUUGUGAAAAAUGAUCCAGAUCAAGUUGGAGCUGAUUAUUUCAGAUUCUGAACUUGAGAUGACCAAGUGUAGCCCAGAUUCCAGAAGAACUGUAAAAUGCACCUUUAAUUUAUUGCCCAGUCGGAUGUUUGAAAACCUGACUCUAACUUCAGUUUCAUAAUGUACCCUAAGCAAUAUUUUCUCAGAGUUUUUACACUGAACACAGCACAAACUGCACAUGAACACUGGGUCGCUUGUGGGUCGCUUGUGUCAUUAGUUCCAAAGACAAAAAGCCACGAUAGUCUUUGAGCAAAAUUAUUAAGAGCGCCUUUGGUGAAAAGAGUCAAAUGCAGCUCUGCAACUGCAGGUUGCAGACCCUGAUGUCUAGAAGUAAGAGGAAAAAAUAAAGAGAAGAAUAUUUUAUUAAUGGGUCCUGAGUUUAUGCAUCACCCAUUGUCCCUGUCAUAAUGAAACUCCAGGAAGGACGACCAUCUGCACUAAGCAGCUGUGGGGUGAGAGGGAAAGGACGCAAACAAACACAGACUCACCAGGCCAGAAAUACCAGUAAGAGGAAAAGAAAGAGAAAAACUUGAAGUGUAUUACAUGCAAUAACAGAACAUUUCCUAAUGUUAGACUGCAUUUGUAUUUACUGUAUUUUGCUGAUGUCUUGUUGAUAGGCAUCAACAAAAUAGGCAUAAGAAAAUAUGCGCAUUUUCGGUUGAUCCACUCGAAAAAAUCAACAAAUCUUUGAUUGGCAAAAGUAAUACAGUCAGUGUGUGUGCAGUUGUGCACGACAUUAAAAGACACAUUAAUUACUGCGAAACUGCGAGGGAAAAAGCAGACUGAGUAAAAAUCAGGGAGAGGCAAAAACUUGGAGGCUUGGAUCAUACGAGGCCGAACUCAGAGCAUCCUCAUCUCCAAACUGCUGAGUUGGCGUGGCUCUGCAAAGUCCACAGCAUGCAGACAAGAUUUAAGGGGCUUGAUUUCUUUUAAAUAUGUAGGUAGAGUAAUUUAUUCAUACUUAUGUUCUCUGUGCAUGUACAUCCGACAGCCAACUCAAAUGCAUAUUUAAGCAUAUGAUUUCUUCUAACUGUAAAUAGUAACAUCUGCUCAGGUGAAGCUGUCUCUACAUUGCCGUUGAAACCAUUCCGUUUGGACUUUUAUGUGACACGGCGACGCAGAGUAGUGCAAACAGUAAAUGUGAAGUGGACAGGAAAGUAACGGAUGGUUUUCUCAGCAACACUUAGAAGUGUUUCACAGGUAGAUCCCUAAAAGCUUAGCACAGCUAUGAAGUGACGUUUUUGUCCUCUUUUUCCUUUUUUUUAAAGCUAAAUCUCCCUCACAGUGGAUGUUGUGACCUGUGACCAAAAAUCGAAACGACUCUUGGCUCUAUUUAAAAAUGUAGCACAAAUUGACCAGUCUAAGAGAAAAAUAUACGUUUUUGUUUGGAUCCGAACAUUUUAAUCUGCAGCUCUGGUUGUAUGUUCGCUGACGACGUCCGGCCGAAUCUCCUGUGUCCUGUGUUUAAAUCCGUCCAUCUCACCCAACUACUCUGUUCAAAUUCCCUGCUGAAGAAAACCAUCCCCGUAGCAUGAUACUGCCACCGCCUUAUUUCACAGCACUCCCUCCUUUCACCUACAACUAUACACUUCCUUGUGCUGGUCUAUUACUUGAGAGAUGUGACAUUUGAAACAUGUUCCAGAACAUUUAUUACUUACUCUCUUUAUAAACUUUACUGUAACCUUUAAGAGUUUGAAAUGUCUAUAUUACAUGGUAAAAGGGGAGAAAAUUAGGGACACAAUUUUAACAUGUUAAUUUUGACUAAUUAUGUAGAUUUAAACACAAUUAAACACUAUUUAUUUAUUUUUUUACAUAAAAAAGGUUUUGGAGUCAUCGUAUUUGCGUGUUUCUGGUCCGUCCGUAAGUCUGAAGCACAACUAUAACUAUGGGCUAGUUUUUGCUUCAAAAAGCAAUCUGAUGGGACACUGGAAAAUACUAUUGUUAUCUGCAAGUUGGGCUAAGAGGAGUUGGCCAAUCAGCGAAGCCAUUCAAGCCUAAAAUAGUAUCGUGAUGCUAAACACAUUUCAGCAAGCAACAACGUCCGUCCCCAAUGCUAAUGUCUGCACACUCUCCACAUUUGUGAAGAAGUAUUUUUAAAAGAAGUGACAUGAAUAAUCAAGGGUUCCCGAAACUCUUGAAAGCUGAUUGGAUAUAGUGGCAAUUUGCAUCUAUCUGAUGGUUGAAUAAGUUAAAUAAAAGAUUAAGAACAAUACAUAUCUUUGUAGUUGAGCUCAUAUGUCUAUUUAUUCAAUAAUUUAACAGCAAAAAGAGUUUUUGAAAGGAAGAUGUUGCUUAUUUUGUCAAUAUAUAGUUUUUGAUUAAAUUGUGAUUAGUUGCGAUUAAUUACAGACCCCUCAACUAACUUGAUUAAAAAUUUUAACUGAGUCCCAGCACUUCCUAGGUAAAGCCAGUGCUUUCCAAAAGUAUUCAUACUCACUUUACAUUUUUGCAACAACCACAAAGUUCCGAUUGUUUAAUUGAGAUUGUUUUGUUUACAGAUUAAUCUCUGUUAAUCUCAUGUUUAAUGAGCAAAACAAAAAGUUUUAAUCUGUAUCUACAAUAGAAUUACUUUCUAUUUCAGAGGUGAAAAAUAGAGAUUAUGCAUCAUUAUGGGAACAUUCCUCAGUUCAACACUAAAUAUUUAAUAGGAUGCCCUCAUUUUUUCCCCCCACACAACUAUAUAUUUGCUUUCUGUUGAUAAAAAAAAAAAGCACAUUUAAAAAAAUCCCACAAUAAAUUGUGACUCUGGUGCAGUGCAAGAACACCUUCUUUAAUUUAUGUUUUGGUACAAUUGGGGGGCUAGUAAUUGUAGGGGGGCUGACGCUCCACUCGUGUUCAUCUAACUAUUAGUGCCAGUGUAUAAAACUAAUUAGCUCACCAGCGCGUGAGGCACUUUACGUUCCCAAGCAAACUCCAUAAAUUUGAGAGAGGCUGCCACUCUUUGCACCUUGCAACUCCCCCCACAGCCCCCCUGUCUGUUUAAUGUUAGCUCGUAAACAGACGGCGCUUCGAGACGGGAGCGAGACAUUUAAUGAAAAUAAAAUAAAAAAGCAGGAGCAUCUGCAACUGAACAUUCGCCACUGUUUGCUGGUGAAGCGCUUCACAUAUUUAGUGAGCCCCAAAAGCAAUCAUAUUUGCAACCUGUGUGUGCCUCGUAGCAGAAUACGCAGACGUUUCAUUGUCUUUCAGAAUACCGAGGCUGAAAACUUCACACUUUAUUUCCUCGCACAAAACAGCAGACUAAAAAUUUGAGAGAUAAAUCUUUAAUUAAAUCAAUACUGUGCAUGAAAUUUCAAUAAAUAGCUAAUUUCUCACGAUAUGUUAUGAUUUGCCUCUGUAGUAGUUAGAGCUGCAGAGGCUGCAGGCCUUGAUGCGGCCACACCGAGUUCGACUCCCUUCCUCGGCACCUUUGCUGCACGUCUGCCCCCUUCCUGACGGAUUACUAUUUUAUAAAAGCCUCUGGUACCCAAAAGAUUCUUCAAACAAAAAAUAGCUAAUCGGGUCCAAAGGAAUGUACAACUGGGUAGGCUAAUUAAAAAACAAAAUAUUCAAAAUGUGUGUAAAGACAAACUACGUAUUUUUUUAACAGCAGCAAACAUGUGCAGAUACCAGCAUAAGUUUUAUGGACUGUAAAUUGUGAAUAUGUGUUCAAAUACCAGGUUUAAGUGAACACUUAUUGAUUCUAACAGUUUCUGGUCUUCCUGAGGAACUGAUGCUCUGAUCGUUUCUAUAAAGCGCGUCAGUCUCAGUGCUUAUGAGAGUCCACUGUAUAGAAGCCACAUAGAAACAUGAAAGUCCUCUUCAAGGAUUCACUCUCCUUACACUUUUUUAUGCUAUGUCAUGUUUCAACCCCGGUUUUUGAAACGAGACCAAGCACAGACUUCAGUAUUUACUGUCAUAAAUAUUUUAUGUAAUAGAUUACCACAAAGCUUUGAGUAUUUGCCUAAUAGAAAGAAAGCUACAAAUGGUUUUCAAACUAUUUCACAAAUAAAAAUUCUGAAGCUGUCCAGUGCGUUUGUAUUCUGUCUGGUACCGGUGGCGGAGGCAAAAGAAGUUUUCAUAGAAGUGACCAGGCUGGAAUCAUUGCAUGCUCACUCGUACAGCCCAUUAUAAUAGAUUACAUUUCACGUACAUGUCAAUCUAGACCAGAGGAAUACUUACAAAUGAUGCAUAGCAAAGCUCUCCUUGCUUUGUGACUGAAUAGGCAAAUAUUUCUGUGCUUAGAUGUGGAACUGUAAUUCAGGGAAAGUGUGCUCUACAACAUAUUCACUCACAGGGAUUUAAUAUAAACGCGCACCGCACUUUUAAGAUUUUUAUUUGUUAAAAUGUUUGGAAACUGCAUCAGAGGUUUCUUCCACUUCACAGCCAUGACCUCCAUUGUGUCAUUAUCACAUGAGUUCCUCAUAAAAUGCAGUGAAGGUUGCAGCUGGAAUGUGACAAAGUCUUUUCCAAGACACUGUACUGUGCAUAUAUACUUUAAUAGAAUGCUAAAGUUCUAGAAAAUAAACAUAUUGUUUUCCAAUUGCAGUGUGGCAGGUUUCAGCGAAAUUCUGGGAGUCACAAUAUGUUUUGUCUCUUAGAGGCACACACACACACACACACACACUUCCAGUGCCCGGUGUUUUUUUUUUGUUUUUUUUACAGAGGCAUGUUUGACCUUGGCAUGCAGAACAUUUCUUGAAGGAAAAGCUCUUAAUUUCCUGAUUUAGAAGCAACCAAUUAGUGAACCCCCCCCCAAAAAAAACAGGAGUCACAGAGUGAUUAAUUAGCUCAUGAGUGCUCCUGUUUUCACUCUGAUUGCCAGGCUAUAAAUAUCUGGUACUACAGAGUGAAGCCUCAGAGAACAAUCAUAAUGACAAGACAAAAAAUAUUGUACUGUAUAUUUCCACAAUGCUCCCGUUUUAUUGCGGGUUUUCUAUGGUGCUUAGCUCCCCUAUGUGCUGCCUCAAACUUCUCUCACCUUCCCUAAAAAUGUCCACUGCUAUUUUAAAGGUCACCAAAUGGCUUUUCACUGUUUGUCAAUAAGAUCACCUUUGAUAAAGCGCCCCCUGUGGGGCCUAUUCUCAAGACAAUGCCAGGACUGGCCUUUGUGGCUUUAAAUGUCAGGGAAACUUGUAUUCACCGCAUUCGUUUAGUUCACAAUUGCUGGUUGUUUGCGUCGAAAAGACAGAAUUGUGUGUAUAAUGUGAUUCCUCAACUCAGUGUUUAUAUAAGUAAUACCAGUACAGUCAGAGAGAGAGAGAGAGUGUGUCCUUAAUGCAUUCCUCUCUUGGUCUUUUGGAGUACAAACCUGCCACCUAGUGGCUUUGAGAUGUGAAUGUGAAAUGCUGGUAGAGCUGUUAGAACUGUGUGCCUAUAUGGGCCUGAAGGAGGGGCGGGGCCCUUUAAACCAUUUAAAAAUGUUAAUUUCACCCUUAGUCCCUUUCUGGUUCAUUUGCAGAGGAGAUAAAACGUGUGGGGCACAGCUUGUGUUAAUGUCUGAGUGUGUGGCAUUUGAAAGCUUCAGUUUCUGCAGCAGCCUCUGCAUGGACACAUGUACGCAGUGAGAAAAGAAACAGACAUAAAACGGGCUUUAAUAAAUGGGACUUUUGGAUAUAAACUCAGUGACUUAAGAUGAGGUAUUGCUCCGUUUCAAAAGAUCAACGCAGACACAAAUCGUCAUAUCAUUCUUUCCCCCCAUGAUGCAGUUAAGUUAAACAUUUUAAUGUUUUAUUGCUUUGUUAAGCUGCAGAAGUCUGCUGUAAUGUCUGCUGAAAAUUUAACCUACUUGUAUCCGGAGUAAGUGAGAAACCAAAUUACUACAGAUGUGUUUGUAGUAUUACAUAAUGUCCUGAUUCACCGAUUUUCACAAUUCUUUUAGGAUGUAACAUCUGCAGCAGGGCUCUCCAACCGGCACCUUCGGACCCGCCAUUGGAUCUAAGUACAUUUUGCAACAGCUCUUUGUGACUUUGGGAAAAAUGAUGAAAAGCAAAUGAAUGCUUUUUGAUAAAGAUGGAAUAUUUAAUGCAGAUUUUGACAGUUUUUCAGUUUUUAUGUAAUCAUUGCAUUAAUUCCUAUUACAGAAUGAGACUAAAAGCAGAAUAUUCUAUAAUAUCAAUAAUAUUUUUUUUAUUGAUUUUUCUUCUAAUUAGGUUAGAAACUAUAUCCUUUUUUAACCUUUUCCAACACAUAUCUACAUUACAUAGAAGCAAAUGUCUCCAUCCUGUUUUAAAAAAAUAAAUAAAAUGCUUCUUUAGUUUAAUACAUAAAUACAGAAACAAACUGGUGGUUCUUUAAAAAUGACAGCACAUUAAAUUUAGCAGAUAUUUAAAAAAAAAAUAAUAUAAGUUGUCUUUUUUCCAAAGGUCAAAGCACAAUUCUGCCUCUAAAUGAGUUUUAUUUCGCUGGACUGAUGGUCAAAAUGCAAAGGUUGCAGAUUCCUGUUCGAUACAGAAGCAUCUGUAGUUAGUAUUAUAAUUCAGACCAAAUUUGACCAAUCUAUGCGUUGUGCUUUACAUACACAAGCUGGUGGUUCUAAUGCCAAAUAUGCCAAAAGAAGAAUUUGAAAGUGUCCUUUUGUAUUUAAACACAGGAGCUCAUGAGUUUAUAAAUAAUAAGCCUCUUUUCAUUGUUUAAUAAUGCAGCUACUGUUUUAUCAGUACUAAAUAUUGACGGACGGACGGAUAGACAGACAGACAAAGAAAUUUGUUUGAAGUAGUUUUUGAACUCUUUUAAAAACACAGAAAUAUUUGUGUAAUUUAAUGUAAACUUUAAUUUAGAAGCUUGCCUAAAAAACAUAUUGUCACCUUUCUAAAAUAAUGACCCGAGUCAUUUUUUUGCCAAAAGUGAUUUUUUUUUUUUUGCCUAAAAUAUCUUUGGAAAGUGAGAGUUAAGCUGAUCUUUUUUAUCUUUUUGCCAAAAUCAUUUUUGGCAAAAACAAACAAAAAAAAACUUAUUAUUUUAGGAAGGUGAUGAUAGUAGGGUCUAUGUGACCGAAAAAUUAAUUGUACAAUUUUUUUUUAUGUCUUCAUGAAUUUAUGCCUGCAUUGUACUGUAGAAGCCUCUGGGACCUGAAACGCUGGGUGGAGAGUCAGAUUGUCCACAUCAACGCUGCAUGGUCUUUUAACAAAACACACACACACACUCUCACGCACGCCUACAUGAGAACAGAGUCAAGACAGCUGUACAAAUAUUACAAAAAAAAAAAAUCUACACGUAUGGCGACUCAACAAACCCUACAGCCACUUUGUCCUCUCCAACAACUUUUAGUCUCAUUUUGAGUUUCCUAUCAUAAUGAAAAUAUUUAUGCUAAACUCCAAUGGAGAUGGAAAAUGUCAAAAAGCGAAAGAACAACAGGUUAGGACAGAAUGAGAGAGACUGUCGGUUGGGAGGCUAAAAGCAUCAGCUUCAACAGCCUUCAAUCUUGCACUCUUUGAGCCAGUUAUGUUUGAAGGCUGUGCAGGGUAUAAAAUGCAGAAGAAAAAGGAUCUUUAUUGAUUUGAAAUGCUGGAAACCAGGGCAUAUUUGGUUGGCAUGCGUGUUGCAUCACCUCUUUCACAAAAACACACUCCGUAAGCGCUCUGAGUCUCUGUAAUGUCUGUAGCUCUGAAUGACAAAAGAUUUUUUAUUUUAUUUUUUUAAAGUUCUUUGUGUGUUUUUGUUUGUUUUGUUUAAUAAUGCACCAACUGCAGCAGCUUCAAACACUUGGAGAUUUGGACUGAUUGCUGCAUUCGGUA